CAGCAGCCACGGUAAAACGUAGGUGGCAAGCGUUGUCCGGAAUAAUUGGGCGUAAAGCGUGCGCAGGCGGUUUUGUAAGACAGGCGUGAAAUCCCCGGGCUCAACCUGGGAAUGGCGCUUGUGACUGCAAAGCUAGAGUGCGGCAGAGGGGGAUGGAAUUCCGCGUGUAGCAGUGAAAUGCGUAGAUAUGCGGAGGAACACCGAUGGCGAAGGCAAUCCCCUGGGCCUGCACUGACGCUCAUGCACGAAAGCGUGGGGAGCAAACAGGAUUAGAUACCCCCGUAGUCCCUGUCUCUUAUAC
rnacentral:rRNA from 1 species